UUUUAGAUGGGCUCACGGCCUAUCAGCUUGUUGGUGAGGUAAUGGCUUACCAAGGCGACGACAGGUAGCCGGCCUGAGAGGGUGACCGGCCACACUGGGACUGAGACACGGCCCAGACUCCUACGGGAGGCAGCAGUGGGGAAUAUUGCACAAUGGGCGCAAGCCUGAUGCAGCGACGCCGCGUGAGGGAUGACGGCCUUCGGGUUGUAAACCUCUGUUAGCAUCGAAGAAGCGAAAGUGACGGUAGGUGCAGAGAAAGCGCCGGCUAACUACGUGCCAGCAGCCGCGGUAAUACGUAGGGCGCGAGCGUUGUCCGGAAUUAUUGGGCGUAAAGAGCUUGUAGGCGGUUGGUCGCGUCUGCUGUGAAAGGCCGGGGCUUAACUCCGGUUUUGCAGUGGGUACGGGCUAACUAGAGUGCAGUAGGGGAGACUGGAAUUCCUGGUGUAGCGGUGGAAUGCACAGAUAUCAGGAGGAACACCGAUGGCGAAGGCAGGUCUCUGGGCUGUAACUGACGCUGAGAAGCGAAAGCAUGGGGAGCGAACAGGAUUAGAUACCCUGGUAGUCCAUGCCGUAAACGUUGGGCACUAGGUGUGGGGGACAUUCCACGUUUUCCGCGCCGUAGCUAACGCAUUAAGUGCCCCGCCUGGGGAGUACGGCCGCAAGGCUAAAACUCAAAGGAAUUGACGGGGGCCCGCACAAGCGGCGGAGCAUGCGGAUUAAUUCGAUGCAACGCGAAGAACCUUACCAAGGCUUGACAUGCAUUAGAUCGCGUCAGAGAUGGCGUUUCCCUUCGGGGCUGGUGUACAGGUGGUGCAUGGUUGUCGUCAGCUCGUGUCGUGAGAUGUUGGGUUAAGUCCCGCAACGAGCGCAACCCUCGUUCUAUGUUGCCAGCGGUUCGGCCGGGGACUCAUAGGAGACUGCCGGGGUCAACUCGGAGGAAGGUGGGGAUGACGUCAAAUCAUCAUGCCCCUUAUGUCUUGGGCUUCACGCAUGCUACAAUGGCCGGUACAGAGGGUUGCGAUACUGUGAGGUGGAGCUAAUCCCUUAAAGCCGGUCUCAGUUCGGAUUGGGGUCUGCAACUCGACCCCUUGAGGUCGGAGUCGCUAGUAAUCGCAGAAUCAGCAACGCUGCGGUGAAUACGUUCCCGGGGCCUUGUCCACAUCGCCCGUCA
rnacentral:rRNA from 1 species